UGAGGAAUAUUGGUCAAUGGACGAAAGUCUGAACCAGCCAUGCCGCGUGAAGGAAUAAGGCCCUAUGGGUCGUAAACUUCUUUUGUAUGUGAGCAAUAAGGUCCACGUGUGGUGCGUUGCGUGUACCUUUCGAAUAAGCAUCGGCUAAUUCCGUGCCAGCAGCCGCGGUAAUACGGAAGAUGCGAGCGUUAUCCGGAUUUAUUGGGUUUAAAGGGAGCGUAGGCGGGCUGUUAAGUCAGCGGUCAAAUGUCAGGGCCCAACCUUGGCAUGCCGUUGAUACUGGCGGCCUUGAGUUCACACAAAGAAGGUGGAAUUCGUCGUGUAGCGGUGAAAUGCUUAGAUAUGACGAAGAACUCCGAUUGCGAAGGCAGCCUUCUGGGGUGUUACUGACGCUGAGGCUCGAAAGUGCGGGAAUCAAACAGGAUUAGAUACCCUGGUAGU
rnacentral:rRNA from 1 species